rnacentral:rRNA from 1 species
AGGGCACCACCAGGAGUGGAGCCUGCGGCUUAAUUUGACUCAACACGGGAAAACUCACCCGGCCCGGACACCGUAAGGAUUGACAGACUGAUAGCUCUUUCUUAAUUCGGUGGGUGGUGGUGCAUGGCCGUUCUUAGUUGGUGGAGCGAUUUGUCUGGUUAAUUCCGAUAACGAACGAGACUCUGGCCCAUUAAAUAGUAGAGUCGUCUCGUGUAGCGAUUCUUACUUCUUAGAGGGACAAGCGGCGUCUAGCCGCAUGAAAUAGAGCAAUAACAGGUCUGUGAUGCCCUUAGAUGUCCGGGGCUGCACGCGCGCUACACUGAAAGAAUCAGCGUGCGUCGAGAACCUAGUCCGGAAGGACCGGGUAACCCCAGUAAAUUCUUUCGUGCUUGGGAUAGGGAAUUGAAAUUAUUUCCCUUAAACGAGGAAUUCCCAGUAAAUGCGGGUCAUAAGCUCGCGUCGAUUACGUCCCUGCCCUUUGUACACACCGCCCGUCGCUACUACCGAUUGGAUGACUCA